GGUAUCCUGACCGUGCUAAGGUAGCAUAAUAGCUUGCCUUUUAAUUAAAGGCUUGUAUGAACGAACCAACGAGAGUUUGACUGUCUCCUAGAUAAACACGAAAUUUAACCUUUAUGUGAAAAGGCAUAAAUAAAACUAAAAGACAAAAAGACCCUGUCGAGCUUAAUUGCUAACCCCCCGAAAGAAAAAUAAUUUACUCUUUCCAGGAAAUAAAUCAAUUUAGUUGGGGCAACAAGGGAACACCUAAACCUUCCCUUAUGAAAUUUAUUUUAAUCAAAAGACCCCCAAUCGGGCCAAAAGAUAAAAGCUACCGCAGGGAUAACAGGUUAAUUUUUCUCGAGAGUACACAUUAACAGAAAAGAUUGGCACCUCGAUGUUG
rnacentral:rRNA from 1 species